AGAUUGAACGCUGGCGGCAGGCCUAACACAUGCAAGUCGAGCGCGAAAGUUCCUUCGGGAAUGAGUAGAGCGGCGGACGGGUGAGUAACGCGUAGGAAUUUGCCCAGUAGUGGGGGACAACUCGGGGAAACUCGAGCUAAUACCGCAUACGCCCCAAGGGGGAAAGCAGGGGAUCUUCGGACCUUGCGCUAUUGGAUAAGCCUGCGUCGGAUUAGCUAGUUGGUGGGUAAGGCCUACCAAGGCAACGAUCCGUAGCUGGUCUGAGAGGAUGAUCAGCCACACUGGGACUGAGACACGGCCCAGACUCCUACGGGAGCAGCAGUGGGGAAUAUUGGACAAGUGGGGGCAACCCUGAUCCAGCCAUGCCGCGUGUGUGAAGAAGGCCUUAGGGUUGUAAGCACUUUCAGUGGGAGGAAAAGCGUAGGCGGCUAAUACGUCCGUCCGGCCCCGUACGUUACCCGACAGGAAGAACGCACCGGACAAACUCCGUCGACCAGCAGCCGAC
rnacentral:rRNA from 1 species